GUUCAAACCGUGUUCAAAUAAGGCAAACGCCAGCCUGUAACCAAUCCAGCUGCUCUGUACCUCACUUCCCAAUUUCUAUCUAGAAGAAAGGAUCUGAGUGACAGGCUUAGGUGCGUUGUCUGCGUCCCAGGAACAGAGCAAAGCACACUGGCUCAGGCAUGAGGAAGCCACACCCCAAUCCUGCCUUUCAGGUGCCAAUGGAGAACAACCCCUUCAGCGGAACCAUGGUGCUUUACAUCUCUCUCUGAACUCUCAGAUCUCCUAAGUGGAGAUGGCUGAUUAAGGCUCUUAUCUUUCACGUUCUAAAAUCAAUUUAGUGUUGUUCGGAGCCAGCAAUGUUAAAAUAUAUUUGUAUUUUGAAACAAAGUUAACAUAGAGAAAUGAAAAAUAAAAUGUUGAGAAUUUUACAUUUAAUUGCAG
rnacentral:lncRNA from 1 species